rnacentral:rRNA from 1 species
ACCGCCAGCUAAGGUCCCAAAGUCAUGGUUAAGUGGGAAACGAUGUGGGAAGGCCCAGACAGCCAGGAUGUUGGCUUAGAAGCAGCCAUCAUUUAAAGAAAGCGUAAUAGCUCACUGGUCGAGUCGGCCUGCGCGGAAGAUGUAACGGGGCUAAACCAUGCACCGAAGCUGCGGCAGCGACGCUUAUGCGUUGUUGGGUAGGGGAGCGUUCUGUAAGCCUGUGAAGGUGUACUGUGAGGUAUGCUGGAGGUAUCAGAAGUGCGAAUGCUGACAUAAGUAACGAUAAAGCGGGUG